rnacentral:rRNA from 1 species
CAGCAGCCGCGGUAAUGCGUAGGUGGCAAGCGUUGUCCGGAUUUAUUGGGCGUAAAGCGAGCGCAGGCGGUCAAUUAAGUCUGAUGUGAAAGCCCCCGGCUCAACCGGGGAGGGUCAUUGGAAACUGGUUGACUUGAGUGCAGAAGAGGAGAGUGGAAUUCCAUGUGUAGCGGUGAAAUGCGUAGAUAUAUGGAGGAACACCAGUGGCGAAGGCGACUCUCUGGUCUGUAACUGACGCUGAGGCUCGAAAGCGUGGGUAGCAAACAGGAUUAGAUACCCCGGUAGUCCCUGUCUCUUAUAC